GGCCAGUAAGGCUGAGUGACCCGGCGUGGCUACUAGGAGAAGGACGGACCGUCCUGCUAGUAGAGGAAUAUGUCGAGUUUCUCUAGGGCGCCCCAGCAAUGGGCCACUUUUGCUAGAAUAUGGUAUCUCUUAGAUGGGAAAAUGCAGCCACCUGGCAAACUUGCUGCUAUGGCAUCAAUAAGACUUCAGGGAUUACAUAAACCUGUGUACCAUGCACUGAGUGACUGUGGGGAUCAUGUUGUUAUAAUGAACACAAGACACAUUGCAUUUUCUGGAAACAAAUGGGAACAAAAAGUAUACUCUUCGCAUACUGGCUACCCAGGUGGAUUUAGACAAGUAACAGCUGCUCAACUUCACCUGAGGGAUCCAGUGGCAAUUGUAAAACUAGCUAUUUAUGGCAUGCUGCCAAAAAACCUUCACAGAAGAACAAUGAUGGAAAGGUUGCAUCUUUUUCCAGAUGAGGAUAUUCCAGAAGAUAUUCUUAAGAAUUUAGUGGAGGAGCUUCCUCAACCACGAAAAAUACCUAAACGUCUAGAUGAGUACACACAAGAAGAAAUAGAUGCCUUCCCAAGAUUGUGGACUCCACCUGAAGAUUAUCGGCUAUAAGAGAAUAAGAAUUGCAGAAGAUAACAGUGAAGUGAUUGAAGCUUUCUUCUGAUGAGUUUCUCUAACCUACAGGAUGGGGUAAAACAACUGCAGCAAUCCCUUCUGCUUACUAUGACAUUACCCAGAGCCAUGGCGGACAGUGGUGAGAGUGCAGCAGACUCACUGGCACUGGCAGGUGCUCAUAUCUCAUGCAUAUGCAAGGAGCUUCUGUGUUCUGUCUCAGGGUACUCAUGCCAAGACAGCCCCUGAGAUUGAAAGUUAACACCCUGAGAAACAAGGCUCAACCACAAGGAUUCAGGAAUCAGUGAAGGAAAGCUUCAACCUCCCACCCUCUAGGGGACAGUUCUAAGAAGCAUCUUCUCACUUCUCAGAGGUCAAGAUAGAACUGACUCCCCACUGCCUAUAGCUGCUGCUGAUAAUGCAGCUUUAGGUUGGCUUUUCCUUGUUCCCUGUCUCAUUUGUGCUGCUCCCUUACUGCUAUUUCCUUUAGUCACUUUUCAAAUAAACUGUCUUCCCUGAAAUCCUUGUUUCAUGUCCUAAUUUCAAAAGAACCAAGCU